rnacentral:rRNA from 1 species
UACGUAGGGUGCAAGCGUUAAUCGGAAUUACUGGGCGUAAAGCGUGCGCAGGCGGUGAUGUAAGACAGUUGUGAAAUCCCCGGGCUCAACCUGGGAACUGCAUCUGUGACUGCAUCGCUGGAGUGCGGCAGAGGGGGAUGGAAUUCCGCGUGUAGCAGUGAAAUGCGUAGAGAUGUGGAGGAAUACCGAUGGCGAAGGCAGCCCCCUGGGUCGAUACUGACGCUCAUGCACGAAAGCGUGGGGGGCAAACAGG